rnacentral:lncRNA from 1 species
AGCUAUACGGCACACCAGUGUAUUAUCAGCUCAUCUUUAGCUAAUGUUCCAAAUCAAUGCCAUCACCGUUGUUUCUUAAAUGUUGAAAAUACUCAUUAGUGAUUUGCUUAAAUAAAACUCAUUCAGGUAUUCAAGAUGUUUACUUUCAGAGACGUAAAAUAUAUCUGAUAAGGUUUCUUUCCUGAAAAACUACUUUUAUUCAGAUUCUUCAGAUGCAUAAUGAUACUAUAGUUUUGGAUCAAUUAGAAUAAUAAUGAUAAUUUGCCAGAACUAGGGGUCGUUUAUCUUUUGUUUCCCUGUACUUGAACGAACGUUAUCUUCAUCUUAACAUUAGCAUGGUAUCCUGAAAGAAAUAUGGGAGCUAAUGCC